GAAAUGCGAUAAGUCAUGUGAAUUGCAGAAUUCAGUGAAUCAUCGAAUCUUUGAACGCACAUUGCGCCCGCCAGCACUCUGGCGGGCAUGCCUGUUCGAGCGUCAUUUCAACCCUCAGAACCCCUUGCGGGAUCUGGCGUUGGGGAUUGGCAUCCAGCCAGCCCCGAAAUCUAGUGGCGGUCCCUCCGCGACCUCCCCUGUGCAGUAGCGAUACCUCGCAGCGGGACAGCGGUCUGACCACGCCGGAAAACCCCCAACUUCUCAAGGUUGACCUCGAAUCAGGUAGGAAUACCCGCUGAACUUAAGC
rnacentral:misc_RNA from 1 species